AACGGAGGAACCCGCCCUCCUCCCGCGCCCAAAGUUGGAGCACUUGACCUUUGGCUGUCAUAGGAGGCAGGCCGGCGGGU
rnacentral:miRNA from 1 species